rnacentral:lncRNA from 1 species
UGAAAGUUUACUAUGUCUUUAUAGUAUUUAUAUACUUAAUAUCAAUAAAUACAAAAUUAAAUUGUUACAAAACCCACAAUAGUUUUUAUCACAAUACACAACAUAAUUCAUACUAGUACACAUCUUUAAACAAAUUUUUGAGUCUACAAACACCUUGGGAAGAAUUCUAAUUUGGUUCAAUAUUUUUAGCUAAGGUUUCUGGGAAAAAGAUAUAUUAUUUUCUGUUCC